rnacentral:rRNA from 1 species
AAACCAACAGGGAUUGCCUUAGUAACGGCGAGUGAAGCGGCAACAGCUCAAAUUUGAAAUCUGGCCCUUGGGUCCGAAUUGUAAUUUGUAGAGGAUGAUUUUGGUGCGGUAUCUUCCGAGUUCCUUGGAACAGGACGCCUUAGAGGGUGAGAGCCCCGUACGGUUGAAUGCCUAGCCUCUGUAAAUCUCCUUCGACGAGUCGAGUAGUUUGGGAAUGCUGCUCUAAAUGGGAGGUAAAUUUCUUCUAAAGCUAAAUAUUGGCCAGAGACCGAUAGCGCACAAGUAGAGUGAUCGAAAGAUGAAAAGCACUUUGAAAAGAGGGUUAAAUAGCACGUGAAAUUGUUGAAAGGGAAGGAUUUGUGACCAGACUUUUUCUGGGCGGAUCAUCCGGGGUUCUCUCCGGUGCACUUCGCCCAGUAAAGGCCAGCAUCGGUUUUCGGCGUGGGAUAAAAGCAGUAGGAAUGUGGCUCUCUACGGGGAGUGUUAUAGCCUAUUGUAUAAUACCGCGCUGGGGACCGAGGUUCGCGCUUCUGCAAGGAUGCUGGCGUAAUGGUUAUCAAUCACCCGUCUUGAAACACGGACCAAGGAGUCGAACAUUUGUGCAAGUGUUUGGGUGUUAAACCCUCACGCGUAAUGAAAGUGAACGGAGGUGAGAGCCCUUACGGGUGCAUCAUCGACCGAUCCUGAAGUUUUCGGAUGGAUUUGAGUAAGAGCAUAACUGUUCGGACCCGAAAGAUGGUGAACUAUGCGUGGAUAGGGUGAAGCCAGAGGAAACUCUGGUGGAGGCUCGCAGCGGUUCUGACGUGCAAAUCGAUCGUCAAAUCUGCGCAUGGGGGCGAAA